rnacentral:rRNA from 1 species
UACGGCGGGAGCUAGCGUUGUUCGGAAUUACUGGGCGUAAAGCGCACGUAGGCGGCUUUUUAAGUCAGGGGUGAAAUCCCGGGGCUCAACCCCGGAACUGCCCUUGAAACUGGAGAGCUAGAAUCUUGGAGAGGCGAGUGGAAUUCCGAGUGUAGAGGUGAAAUUCGUAGAUAUUCGGAAGAACACCAGUGGCGAAGGCGACUCGCUGGACAAGUAUUGACGCUGAGGUGCGAAAGCGUGGGGAGCAAACAGG